rnacentral:rRNA from 1 species
AUGGAAUACACUAUUGUAGCACAAGCUUAUCGCCAAAUGUCCCUUCUAUUAAGAAGACCUCCCGGCCGUGAGGCUUAUCCAGGGGAUGUUUUUUAUUUGCAUUCACGCCUUUUAGAAAGAGCCGCUAAAUUAAAUUCUCUUUUAGGCGAAGGAAGUAUGACCGCUUUACCAAUAGUUGAGACUCAAUCUGGAGAUGUUUCCGCCUAUAUUCCUACUAAUGUAAUCUCCAUUACAGAUGGACACAUAUUCUUAUCUGCGGAUCUAGUAGGAUUUGCGGCUCAAAUUAAAGCCAUGAAACAAGUAGCUGGCAAAUCCAAAUUGGAACUAGCUCAAUUCGCAGAGUGA